rnacentral:rRNA from 1 species
AGAGUUUGAUCAUGGCUCAGAUUGAACGCUGGCGGAAUGCUUUACACAUGCAAGUCGAACGAUGAACCUUAGCUUGCUAAGGGGAUUAGUGGCGAACGGGUGAGUAAUAUAUCGGAACGUGCCUUGUAAUGGGGGAUAACUAGUCGAAAGAUUAGCUAAUACCGCAUACGCCCUGAGGGGGAAAGUAGGGGAUCUUCGGACCUUACAUUAUAAGAGCGGCCGAUAUCUGAUUAGCUAGUUGGUGGGGUAAUGGCCUACCAAGGCGACGAUCAGUAGCUGGUCUGAGAGGACGACCAGCCACACUGGAACUGAGACACGGUCCAGACUCCUACGGGAGGCAGCAGUGGGGAAUUUUGGACAAUGGGCGAAAGCCUGAUCCAGCCAUUCCGCGUGAGUGAAGAAGGCCUUCGGGUUGUAAAGCUCUUUCGCAAGGGAAGAAAACUUACAUUCUAAUAAAGUGUGAGGCUGACGGUACCUUGAUAAGAAGCACCGGCUAACUACGUGCCAGCAGCCGCGGUAAUACGUAGGGUGCGAGCGUUAAUCGGAAUUACUGGGCGUAAAGCGUGCGCAGGCGGUUUGGCAAGUCAGACGUGAAAUCCCCGAGCUCAACUUGGGAACUGCGUUUGAAACUGCCAGACUAGAAUAUGUCAGAGGGGGGUAGAAUUCCACGUGUAGCAGUGAAAUGCGUAGAGAUGUGGAGGAAUACCAAUGGCGAAAGGCAGCCCCCUGGGAUAAUAUUGACGCUCAUGCACGAAAGCGUGGGGAGCAAACAGGAUUAGAUACCCUGGUAGUCCACGCCCUAAACGAUGUCUACUAGUUGUUGGUGGAGUAAAAUCCAUGAGUAACGCAGCUAACGCGUGAAGUAGACCGCCUGGGGGAGUACGGUCGCAGAUUAAAACUCAAAGGAAUUGACGG